UGUGUGUGUGUGUGUGUGUGCGUGUGUGUGUGUGUUUGUAGAAAUUUUAGGCUGUGUGCGCGUGCGUGUCUGGAUGCUGUCUUCUUGUCUUACUCAGUGUGUGUUCCCUCAGCUGUCUGAACCAAUAGCCAAGCAUACCUCUCCCCCUGUCAGGCCUUUCUCUACUGCCUCCCUCCCAGGACCACACGCAUCCUGGCUCGUAGUUAUUCUAAAUAGCCCUCUGGAGGACCUUACCCAAGCCCUAUGUCCCUCCCUCCCCCCCAUGCACCACCCUCCUCCCAGAGCCAGAGUCGGACCCCCCCUCACCUCCGAGUCCAGGUUCCAGAGACCUGUGCAUCUCCGGUCCUCCCCAGCCAGUUCGCCUCUGUUUUCUCCCAUUAGCAUUCUGCUGCCAUGGCAACACAAAGCCACUUCUCCCGUGGACGUGAGGUGUCGAUAACACAAGCCGGGUUUACGCCUCCAACCAUGACUCCCCUGGUUUAUAACUCAAACGAUGACUCAGCUGGUUUGUAACUCCAUUCCUCAGGUCAGACUGCAGCUACACUUCCUCUGCACUGUCUGAGCAACACUGGUGUUUAAAUCGGGCAUCCUUUCCUUACAGUCACUACCAGUAGAAGAGGAGACACUUGGCAACAAAGAGAUUGUAAAAACCCUGAGCCACUAAGUUACAUCUUUUUAUUGAGCAUGAUUUCUAAUUUAUUUUACAACUCCUGGAGCACAGAUUAUGAUUCAUGGUUGUACUGUAAUUGUUUUGUGUUUUUAGGCUAAAGAGUGUAGAUGAGUGGGUACAUUUUGUGGCCUGUGUACAUGGUAAUGCUACUGUCAAUAUUUGACAGGUUGUAUCGUAGAGACGAAAGUGCUAGUCACAUCGAUGUACCUUUUGAUUCCUGAAUGCCUGUCCUUCAGAGCUCAAUAAAGCCCUUCUCAUUCA